UACGAAGGGGGCAAGCGUUGUUCGGAAUUACUGGGCGUAAAGGGCGCGCAGGCGGCCAGACAAGUCAGAUGUGAAAGCCCCGGGCUCAACCUGGGAAUAGCAUUUGGGACUGUUUGGCUAGAGAUCGGGAGAGGAGAGUGGAAUUCCCAGUGUAGAGGUGAAAUUCGUAGAUAUUGGGAAGAACACCGGUGGCGAAGGCGGCUUACUGGUCCAUAACUGACGCUGAGGUGCGAAAGCGUGGGGAGCAAACAGG
rnacentral:rRNA from 1 species